rnacentral:rRNA from 1 species
CGGGGGGAGCAAGCGUUGUUCGGAUUUACUGGGCGUAAAGGGCGCGUAGGCGGCCACCGCAAGUCGACUGUGAAAUCUCCGGGCUUAACCCGGAAAGGUCAGCCGAUACUGCGGGGCUAGAGUGCAGAAGGGGCAACUGGAAUUCUCGGUGUAGCGGUGAAAUGCGUAGAUAUCGAGAGGAACACCUGCGGCGAAGGCGGGUUGCUGGGCUGACACUGACGCUGAUGCGCGAAAGCUAGGGGAGGCGAACGGGAUUAGAUACCCCGGUAGUCCUAGCCUUAAACGAUGAAUGCUUGGUGUCUGGGGUUUUAUAGUCCCCGGGUGCCGUCGCUAACGCUUUAAGCAUUCCGCCUGGGGAGUACGGUCGCAAGACUG